GGCCUAUUGAACCUCAAAUUUCUUUUUCAUUGAAGGAUCAGCUUCAAAGGACACUCAAGUGAAUUCAAGCAUUGCAUUUACUCUUCCUGGACUGGAUCAACAUGAGUUCAUCAGUGCAUGCCCCAGAUUCCUGUUCCUGAUGGCACCACGAUGCAGGAUCUGCUCUUGCUGAGGAGCAGGUUUCACAUCCAGGCUCUCAGUGCAGAGAUGGGCUCUCUGUGCCCAGCCUGCCUGCACAGAGAUGGGCUCUCCUGACGCGGAUACGCUCCCCAAACCUCCAAAGAGCCUGUGCAUAGGUACCUACAAGCACUCACCCGUACACCAGGAGGAGAUCCAGAGGGAUUGUGAUGGGUCUCUGCAGCUUCAUCCCACAAGUUGUAACUUGUCCAUGACCUGAUGUGGAGAAAGGCCUGUUGAGAUCGUCUGUGUGAGGUAAUUUUUUAUCUUUUCCUGUGGCCCACGCAUUUAAUGACAAACUUUUUUCUGUUGAAAUUAGAAGAAAUUUGGACAAAAAGCAAACUUAAAGGUCUAAAAAAUUCUCCUUGUCAUCUGCUGCAGUUCAACGUCACGUGCACCUGUAGUGGGUCAAUGCUGACCCCCAGUACUGAGCUGUUGUGACAUUCACCCUCUCUCCCCAUUUCUGCAGAGCAUGAAAGGACCCAUCCCAACUCCUGGCACAGCACCAAGCCCCUGAACACCAACCUGGCAACCACAGAUCCAUCAUGGAAGUUGGCCUUGCUGUAGUGUCUUCAUGGGUGAGGUACAGCACAGUAUGUACCAGCCAGGUACAACUCUGGGGAAGAGUUUGGAGAAGGGUUUGGAUCAGUGAUCUUCUGACAAUCCCCUGCCCUGAGGUAUUAGGGAUAAAAAUGGAGAAAUUAUAAAAUUAGCAGCAACUGAUUUUUGGGAAACUGCUCGGCAACAAUGAAGAUCACUUCUGGUCUGGUGUCACAGAGGGAGAAAACUUCUGCCCCAUCUCGCGAGUCGUGUACCCCUGAACAACCUCUCCUCACAAUGGGAGAAAUCCCAUUGAACACAGCUUUUAAGGCAGCAAGAAUUCGCUGGAGCACUCUGCUAUCCAUGAAUAUUUUCAUCCAUUGUUCCUUUUACAUUUUAUAAACUGAAUUUUCAAAGCAACUCUCCUUUUGAACUGACCUUCCCACUAACUUCUGGAACAACACAGCCUCGUGAAACUGCUGCUUUAUGGCUCACGUGUCACUGCUUGUUUCCAUUGGAAAAAUCUUUACAAAUCAGGGGCUGUAAAUUGAGCCUGCAACAGUUCAAAACAGAUAACUGAAUAAUGUGUCCCAUGGAUUCUCUUGCAACGAAGGAAUUUACUCCCCAGCAUACAUUAGAUGCAGAAAGGGCUCCAGUGUCAGUGACACUAUUGGCAGCUGUGUUAACAGUGAAGGAGCUGGCUUUGUACAGCAGCACAGUUAUUAAAUUUCUCCAGAGACCAUGACUCAUUAAUCAAAUAUUCAUACAUCUCUGUAAAUACACACUGAACAGAGAAUACCCUCAGAGCUGAGCAUCCCAGCACAAGUGCUCUUUCAUGUGCCUCUGACAGAGCCCUGAGAACAUGCGGUCAUGUUUUGCAUUUCUAAUGCCGUGUGUGCUCCGGAGCACCCUGAUCCCUAAAAACAGAACACAAAUGAUCUUACUGAUCCCAAGUGUUACACAGGCACAAUUAAAAUUGCUUCACUAUGGCUUCAUACCAUCUUUUUAAAAGUGAGGACAGUGAAUCGAUUCUUCUGUUCUUUGUUUACCAUCAGACAAGUAACUUUUUCCCAUACGGAUGGAGAAACCCAAGGCCAUGCUCCUAUUAACACAAGAAUUUGUAUUAGCAUGGAAACAACAAACCAAUGGUUGGACUGUGAAGGCCAAAAAACUUGAUAUAUUUGCAAAGACAUGAGCUUGGAUUUAAAAAAUGCUGUAUUUUGUGUUCCCUUACUGCCAUGCAAAGGCACAUUUCACCUGCUCCAGGGCAGGCACAGACGCAGCUGAAGUUUCAGCCUUGGUGAGGUUGAGAUCACAUUUCAGAGCUGAAGCAUCUCUGUGAUCAGCUGAAGCUCUUCCCCAUAAGCCUUUGAAACAAUUCAGUUUUCUGUUGGAAUUCCCCAUCCUAAUUCCUGUCCAGGACUUUGGUUUUGACUGUUGCAAGUUCUGAUUUACUCUCCUGAUUCAGGCUUGCUGUGGUUGAAACAGUCAGAUGCCUUCAUAAAGGUUUUUUUGUAAAUGGGGAUGAUCACAUUGCUGAAUGUAGGUUUUUAAAGUUCUGAACUGUUGUGCUGCUGUUCAAGGGAACAAGGGAAUGGAAGGGAACAACCUGAAUCUUCAAGUCCAACUCACAGAAAGCACGGCCAGCACAGAAUCCCAAAUGAUUUUGGUAAGAGCAGAUUUAUAGAUAAAUCCUGGAAAGAGGUGAAUCUCAGAUUAUAUUCCUUUAUAGUUUUUAUAGGCUGGGACAUAGAAUUCACCUCUGGAACCAGUUCCUAAUUGCAGAUUUUGAAGGGAAAUUUGCAUAAAAUCCUUAUGGCCCGGUUUAAGGAUUGAACUCUGAUCCAAAAAUACUUCCUUUUUUAGUUCCCUUCCUAAUAAAUACAGAUGCUCUCACUUAAGCACCUCCACAGUUCCUAUCACAUUCAUUUCAGUGCAUUUUAAUUUUCUUUAACAAGGCUUGACAUUUACAUUUUAGAAAGAAAAUCCUCUCCUAUAUUUAAUUAGGGCACUGAUUGAGACAGGAUGGCAAUAAACCUCCUGCACUUCUGUGCAAGACAGAACCCCCACCUUGCUGCAGGAGCCAGCACGUGCCGAAAAAGCUGGUCUGGGUAUCUGCUGUGUGUAAACAGCACGAGGCUGUACUUGCAAUCCCCUUUGCCUCCUGUCCUCUCAAUCCUGGGCAUCCUACAAGUGAUCCCACUCCCUUGCAUGACCUUAUCCACUGACCCAGCAAGAUCCUGGAUGUGGAUAAUACCUAAAACAUUGACUUUAACAAUGUUCCCUUGGGGCACAGGGAUUCACCAGAAGGAUCAGAGUGCAGGAAAGCAGGAGAUGGAAAGUAAGAGUAAUGUGUGAAUGCUGAGCAGAGCUCACAAAGCCCUGGCUGUAACACAGCCUAAACACCCACCAGAGCUGGGUGAAAACAGCAAACAUUUAUUUGAGCAUCUUCUUGCAUAAAUAAAACCCUGCUGAUUUGCUUUGAUGGCAUUUACGAGCACAUUUAUUCAUAAACAUUAGAGUGAGCAAGUUUUUAUUUGCAGGAGUGUUCAUGGAAAACAAAAGCCUCGUGAAUUCUGAUGUGAAUAAAUACCAGAGAGCUCUCACUCGAGCGGGGCUCCUGCAGUCAUUAAGUAAAGCUCUUUUUACUAUUCACACCGUGGAUCCAAACAAUUACAGCUGCCUGUGAACUGCUUACAAACAGGGAAGGGAACUGUUUGUAGAGCUCAGCUCAUCCAAUCAGGCAACAGAACCAUCUCAUGGAGAUACCAAAUCACAGGGACAAACCAUGAGGGCCUGAUCCUGACUCCCUCAAAUGCCUCUUUUCAUGUUUCUGUCAAGGCAAAUAAAACAUCAACAUUUUAAGAUCCCUUUAUAUAAUGCUGGCACAGCCUAAUCAAGCUGCUGGGAGGCUGUAACACCUUGGUGCUGCCAGAG